CUUAAUCAAAAAUUCAGUCAAACAAUCACCAAAGAGUAUUACAGGGAUGUCCUCCGUCGCCUACGUGAUGCUGUGCGGUGCAAGAGAC